UUUUAGGUGAUGAGGCCGGCUUGGAAGGAGGGCAUACGCUGCCCUGGGGACAGGUGGGUACCAGCAGUGAAGAUGGUCCUUCAGGUCUAAGAGCCACUUUGAUAGCAAGAGAGACUUUGGACAGUGGAGGACUAUGGAGGAGACCUAGGUUCUGAGCACACUGCCAUGGGUCAUCCCUAAUCUGUGAAGCGAAUGUGGCCUCAUGCUGGCCUAUCCCCCUACCUGGAGGGAGGCAGCACUGGGAACUCAUUUGCCCGGGACUGGGACCCAAUGAAGCCCAAGUAGCCUUGUGAAAUAAUGAAUCAUUUCUGGGAGAAGACACCUGGAUAAAAUAAGAGAUGAAACAACAAAUAAGAAAAUGAAACAUUUUCUUCUGAGAAAAAUAGAACUAGGCACCUUCA